GCGGAAGUGGCGGAAUUGGUAGACGCGCUGGAUUUAGGUUCCAGUAUCUUCGGGUGUGAGAGUUCAAGUCUCUCCUUCCGCACCA
rnacentral:tRNA from 1 species